GAGUAGUGGCACAAUCUUGGCUCACUGCAACCUCUGCCUCCCACGUUCAAGUGAUUCUUCUGCCUCAGCCUCCCAAGUAGUUCAGACUACAGGCAUGCACCACCAUGCCUGGCUAAUUUUUUUGCAUUUUUAGUAGAGACUGGAUUUCACCAUGUUGGUCAGGCUAGUCUCAAACUCCUGACCUCAAAUGAUCCACCCACCUCGGCCCCCCAAAGUGCUGAGAUUACAGGCGUGAGCCACUGCACCUGGCCCAAAAUGUCCUUAUUUCAAAAGAAUACCAUGAGGAUUCAAAUUAAUACAUGUAAAGGUCUUAGAACUGUGCAUGGCACAUAGUUAACUUUGAGUAAAUGUCUGGUUUAUUGUUCUUACUAGUAGACCAUGGCUCAGCUUGUGUCUCGGAGCCUUCUCUGUAGCCUACAAGGGCCUGCAGGGUUUUCUCAGCUUCACCUAGGGCCAGGCUGCUUCAUUCCUCACAUGCCAUGUUCUGUUCAGACUCAGGACCUUUGCCCACACUGGUGCUUCUGCCAAGCUCUGUCCCACUUAUCUCUGAGGUCUUAAUCCACAGGUCACUUUCUCAAGGAGCCUAGCUGCUCACUUCCUCCCCUAUCUGACCAUGGGCUCUGUCCCCUAGGCCUUGCCCAGUGCUGGGUCCAGAGAAGGUGCUGAAGAGUAUGGCUGAGUGGUGGACAGAGAGGAGGGAAGAGAAGAAAGGCCAGUUCCCACUCUCUUCAUCCCUUUCCUCACUGCCUGGCAAAACUAGAAAGAGGCCCCAAUAUAGCAGGUGAUUAUGCAGGGUGUCCAGUAUUCUCCAGACACUUUCUCUCAGGAUAAGGAAGGGGGACAGGAAGCUUAUGGGAAAGUUCUAGAAAAGGCAUCUUUUGCACUGUGCUGAGGCAACAGGCAGGAAUGGGGUAGCAAUCUCCAAAGACUAGGACUUCUUUCUGAGGUCUUUGACCCCAAGUGCUCCAUAGUCCAAAGCAGCUUCUCCUUCCUCCUCUCCACCCAAAGCUAUGGCGACUCCCUUGUCUGGUGCAGAUCAGUGCUGGAUGCUGUGGGGAAGAGAGUACUGGGCUGACAGUCAGUGGAUGUGGGUUUUGUUUCCCAGUUCCAUCGCUGAUUUGCAAGUGAGUCCUUUCCCCUGCCUGAGACUCUGGGAAAGUCUGGGCCUUUCCCCAACUGUCAAAUGAAGUGGGAAUCAUCUCAAAGGGCUCCAUCUAGGGCUGCAGCAUAAGGAGAAUGAAAGUAACUCAUGCAGACAGAUGAGUCACUACCAGGGUUCUCUCUCAGGGGUAUCCAAAAGAUCCAGUAAUUAGUGUAUAAAUUGAGAAGCAACAUUCUGAAGUAGGAGAACUUGUUGCCACAAAGGAGUCUGAUCCUUCUCCACCUCAAAGCCCACUGGGCAUUGCUCUGAACCCGCAGGAUUCCAGGGGAAGAGAGCAAUAGGCACAUCUAUGACCAGGCAGACUCCUGGGCAAGGCUAGAUCUUUCCACGCUCUAGCUCCUGUGGCCUCGACCUCUUCACCCCAGCACCGCCUCCAACUAGUCCAGACAAGUCCCGAGUAUUUUCAGCCACCUUUAUCUGAUCGGAAAUGUUUGGAAUUCCACAGCAGAAAGCAACAGCUCUGGAGGAUUUGGGGAAGGGAGCAAAUCCCUGCAACACCCUUCCCUCCCCACUGUACAGAUGAAUGCUGACACCCCAUGUAACCAAAAACUCAGGGCUGAAGGCACCCACGGGGUUGCAUUUCCUUCUAUUCUGUGAUGUGAUGGAACUGGGAAACAAAACCCACAUCCACUGACUGUCAGCCUCGUACUCUUCUCCACAGCAUCCAACAUUGAUCUGCACCAGACAAGGGAGUGGGUUCCUUCUUGUUUUCUACCCUUUUCAUUUCUGCCCCAGUCCAUUACCCCUUUAAGGUGCAGAACAGUAAGAUGCCUGAGAUGGUGAGAAGAGGGCUAGGGUACUUUGCCUGAUGUCGAGGGAGGGGGCACCCACAGGUGCGCUGUUCACAGUCAAUACCCAGAGCACCACCACCAGGAGGCCUGGAAGCAACUCACUGUCCCACUUGAUGUGGCCUGUGGACCACCAGAAAUUUCAGAGCAUCACAGAGAUGUGUGGUUCGACCCUGAGCAGUUCUAUGACUACCUGGCUGCAGAACUUGGAGCAAGACACUUUCCCCCUCCAAGCCUGGUGUUGCGGCUGAAAAAUGAAAACAGCUGUACCUACUUCACAGGCCUAGCAGCAGAGUUAAAUGGUCCAUGACAUGGACGGUCACAAAGAUGAAUUCACUUGCUCAAGAUCCAACAGACACAAAAUGGAGGUGGUUCAAACCCAAGUGUGUCUGACUGCAGAGCCUGUGUUCUUCCCAGUAGAGAUGUGGAUGCAGCACAAAUGGUAGAAAGGACCUGAGACUUAGUCAGAAGACCUCAGUUCACCCAAGGCUCCCAUGAACUGGUUGCCUGAGUCAUAAAGACACAGUUUCUGGAUUAGAGUGACUGAAGAGCUUACAGUGGUUCCUUGCCCUUGGCCGGAGUAGGGAAUCUGUGUCACCCUGUUCUGCAGGAGAUGGAGGAAGUGACUCCCUCAGGGAGGGGUGGGAAUCCCAUCUUGGAAAACAUCCUCAAACC